rnacentral:rRNA from 1 species
GAUGAACGCUGGCGGCGUGCCUAGCACAUGCAAGUCGAACGGAGAUUACGGACGGAAGUUUUCGGAUGGAAGACUGUAAUUCUUAGUGGCGGACGGGUGAGUAACGCGUGGGCAACCUGCCCUAUACAGGGGGAUAGCAGCUGGAAACGGCUGGUAAGACCGCAUAAGUCGGCGAGACCGCAUGGUUUUGCCGGGAUAUGAGCAAUCAGGUAUAGGAUGGGCCCGCGUCCGAUUAGCCAGUUGGCAGGGUAAAAGCCUACCAAAGCAACGAUCGGUAGCCGGACUGAGAGGUCGGACGGCCACAUUGGGACUGAGACACGGCCCAAACUCCUACGGGAGGCAGCAGUGGGGGAUAUUGCACAAUGGAGGAAACUCUGAUGCAGCGACGCCGCGUGAGUGAAGAAGUAGUUCGGUAUGUAAAGCUCUAUCAGCAGGGAAGAUGAUGACGGUACCUGACUAAGAAGCCCCGGCUAACUACGUG